rnacentral:rRNA from 1 species
UACGGAGGAUGCGAGCGUUAUCCGGAUUUAUUGGGUUUAAAGGGUACGUAGGCGGAUCGUUAAGUCAGUGGUCAAAUUGAGGGGCUCAACCCCUUCCCGCCAUUGAGACUGGCGAUCUUGAGUGGAAGAGAAGUAUGCGGAAUGCGUGGUGUAGCGGUGAAAUGCAUAGAUAUCACGCAGAACCCCGAUUGCGAAGGCAGCAUGCCGGCUUCCUACUGACGCUGAAGCACGAAAGCGUGGGGAUCGAACAGG